rnacentral:rRNA from 1 species
CAUGCAAGUCGAGCGGCAGCACGGGGAGCUUGCUCCCUGGUGGCGAGCGGCGGACGGGUGAGUAAUGCAUAGGAAUCUGCCCGGUAGUGGGGGAUAACGUGGGGAAACCCACGCUAAUACCGCAUACGUCCUACGGGAGAAAGCGGAGGAUCUUCGGACUUCGCGCUAUCGGAUGAGCCUAUGUCGGAUUAGCUAGUUGGUAAGGUAACGGCUUACCAAGGCGACGAUCCGUAGCUGGUCUGAGAGGAUGAUCAGCCACACUGGGACUGAGACACGGCCCAGACUCCUACGGGAGGCAGCAGUGGGGAAUAUUGGACAAUGGGCGAAAGCCUGAUCCAGCCAUGCCGCGUGUGUGAAGAAGGCUUUCGGGUUGUAAAGCACUUUCAGCGAGGAAGAAAGCCUCUGGGUUAAUACCCCAGAGGAAGGACAUCACUCGCAGAAGAAGCACCGGCUAACUCCGUGCCAGCAGCCGCGGUAAUACGGAGGGUGCGAGCGUUAAUCGGAAUUACUGGGCGUAAAGCGCGCGUAGGUGGCUUGGCACGCCGGUUGUGAAAGCCCCGGGCUCAACCUGGGAACGGCAUCCGGAACGGCCAGGCUAGAGUGCAGGAGAGGAAGGUAGAAUUCCCGGUGUAGCGGUGAAAUGCGUAGAGAUCGGGAGGAAUACCAGUGGCGAAGGCGGCCUUCUGGCCUGACACUGACACUGAGGUGCGAAAGCGUGGGUAGCAAACAGGAUUAGAUACCCUGGUAGUCCACGCCGUAAACGAUGUCGACUAGCCGUUGGGACCUUUAAGGACUUAGUGGCGCAGUUAACGCGAUAAGUCGACCGCCUGGGGAGUACGGCCGCAAGGUUAAAACUCAAAUGAAUUGACGGGGGCCCGCACAAGCGGUGGAGCAUGUGGUUUAAUUCGAUGCAACGCGAAGAACCUUACCUACCCUUGACAUCCAGAGAAGUUGGCAGAGAUGCCUUCGUGCCUUCGGGAACUCUGAGACAGGUGCUGCAUGGCUGUCGUCAG